AUUGAACGCUGGCGGCAUGCCUUACACAUGCAAGUCGAACGGCAGCACGGGAGCAAUCCUGGUGGCGAGUGGCGAACGGGUGAGUAAUAUAUCGGAACGUGCCCGGUCGUGGGGAUAACGUAGCGAAAGCUACGCUAAUACCGCAUACGAUCUACGGAUGAAAGCGGGGGAUCGCAAGACCUCGCGCGAUUGGAGCGGCCGAUAUCAGAUUAGGUAGUUGGUGAGGUAAAGGCUCACCAAGCCGACGAUCUGUAGCUGGUCUGAGAGGACGACCAGCCACACUGGGACUGAGACACGGCCCAGACUCCCUACGGGAGGCAGCAGUGGGGAAUUUUGGACAAUGGGCGCAAGCCUGAUCCAGCAAUGCCGCGUGCAGGAUGAAGGCC
rnacentral:rRNA from 1 species